rnacentral:rRNA from 1 species
UACGAAGGGGGCUAGCGUUGCUCGGAAUCACUGGGCGUAAAGCGCACGUAGGCGGAUCUUUAAGUCAGGGGUGAAAUCCUGGAGCUCAACUCCAGAACUGCCUUUGAUACUGGGGAUCUCGAGUCCGGAAGAGGUGAGUGGAACUCCUAGUGUAGAGGUGAAAUUCGUAGAUAUUAGGAAGAACACCGGUGGCGAAGGCGGCCCACUGGUCCGGUACUGACGCUGAGGUGCGAAAGCGUGGGGAGCAAACAGG